GGAGAGGUGCCAGAGUGGUUGAAUGGGGCGGUCUCGAAAAUCGCUAUGGGGGGCAACCUUCAUCGAGGGUUCGAAUCCCUCCCUCUCCG
rnacentral:tRNA from 1 species